UCUUGGCAGUCAGGCCUUCACUGGCUUAUCGCCUGAGACACCAGCUUCUUGCCACCAGUGUCUCCUGAUAGGGCUGUUCACAAACGGCAACUUGCUCCCCUCAGGACAAAAGAUUUAAGAAGGAAUAAGAAUGCACCCCUCAGAAGAAAGCUACAAUCUUCGUGUAACUGAACAUUGGGAAUAAUGUCCCACUCUAUCUGCCAUAUUCGAUUCAUUAGAAGACAGUCACUCAGUGCAGCCCAUAUUCAAGAAGAAUUACGAAAAAGCUUAAGACCAACUCUUGGCAGUAACCUAGAAUUUUCAAAUGCACUGCACGAUUAGACCUACAGUCCUACACUGCUGGGCUUUCAGUAUAUUUGUAUACAUGAGCUUAUAAUCACAGUGGAGACAUAGUGUGAAAGAUGAACAAACAAAAGGCAAUGCUCAAAUAAAUAAAGUCCAUUGAUUGAGUAACGUCAACUGUUGAGGACUACAUGAGUUUGGAGAAAGGAGAGAUUAUGUGGUCCGGAGCAGCCUCAUGGAAAGCUUCACAGAUGUACUGGAAUUCAGUCAGACCUUCCAAGAGGAGCAGGAGUUCAGCAGGUAACAAGAGGACCAGGCAUUCCAGAUAUUCAAACCAUGAGGAUGGACCUUGCUGAAAGCCCUAUACAUCCAACAAGACUGAUUCAGAGCUGAAUGCAUAACACGAAGAAAAUGGCAAAGGAUGGCUUCAUCUCCUCUCCUCUCCUCUCCUCUCCUCUCCUCUCUUCCUUGGCCUGCCUCUCCCCCCUCCUUCAAGAAAUUCCCCCUACUUCAUAAUAACUGCACAAGGACUCGAAACAUUAGAGAAUCUCUACUCUGAGUAGUGUUCCACAUUACAGCUCAGAUGCACCAAUGAUAGGUUGUUAAACAAAUCUUUCCUUUCUUUUCCUGGGAAAUACUGAUUAAAAUGGAAGAAUAUUA